CCAGCCUUGAAACAGAGCCUCGCUCCCCAUACUUUACUCGAACACACAGUGGACGAGCGAGCGUUCUUCUCCAACCUUCGAGUCCAAGGAUUAGUGAGCUUCUAAAAAAGCUGGUAUUCUAUACGAUCGAAGUCACCUCACGGAAUUUUUCCCAUCUAAAGGCCCCGCCUUUGGGAAGACGCCGCCUAGCUACCAGUCUUCGAAAACUUUGACAAGGAGAGCUAGCACUAAACAAAGAGAACAAAGAAAAGAAGAGAUUAGUGACAAAGAUGAAGGUUCUAUUGGUGAAAUGUGCUUACCACCUAAUCUCCAAGCGAGCGGUAUCUCAUCGGAACGAUGCUGAUAUCUCCCUCGAAUUUUCUAUUUCGAUGCGUUGAAGUUUUGGCGAUCUUCCAAAAAAUUGCUGGUGAACAGAACUAGAGAGAGCCCUGUCUCUGUUGUUAGU
rnacentral:lncRNA from 1 species